CCUUCAUGAAGCCGGAAUUGCUAGUAAUGGCAGGUCAGCAUACUGCCGUGAAUACGUUCCCGGGCCUUGUACACACCGCCCGUCACACCAUGAGAGUUGGGGAUACCCGAAGCCUGUGAGCCAACAGUUUACUGAGGCAGCAGUCGAAGGUAGAAUCAAUGAUUGGGGUGAAGUCGUAACAAGGUACC
rnacentral:rRNA from 1 species